rnacentral:rRNA from 1 species
AUGAACGCUGGCGGCGUGCCUAAUCCAUGCAAGUCGAGCGCACAGACGAGGAGCUUGCUCCUCUGACGUUAGCGGCGGCCGGGUGAGUAACACGUGGAUAACCUACCUAUAAGACUGGGAUAACUUCGGGAAACCGGAGCUAAUACCGGAUAAUAUAUUGAACCGCUUGGUUCAAUAGUGAAAGACGGUUUUGCUGUCACUUAUAGAUGGAUCCGCGCCGCAUUAGCUAGUUGGUAAGGUAACGGCUUACCAAGGCGACGAUGCGUAGCCGACCUGAGAGGGGGAUCGGCCACACUGGAACUGAGACACGGUCCAGACUCCUACGGGAGGCAGCAGUAGGGAAUCUGCCGCAAUGGGCGAAAGCCUGACGGAGCAACGCCGCGUGAGUGAUGAAGGUCUUCGGAUCGUAAAACUCUGUUAUUAGGGAAGAACAAAUGUGUAAGUAACUAUGCACGUCUUGACGGUACCUAAUCAGAAAGCCACGGCUAACUACGUG